AACAUAGAGGGCCAGCAUUGUUCGGAAUUACUAAAUAUAAAGGGUUCGUAGGCGGUGUAGCAAGUUGGGAGUGAAAUCUCUGGGCUCAACCCAAAAGCUGCUUCCAAAACUACCAUGCUUGAAUAUGGGAGAAGCGCGUGGAAUUGCAGGUGUAGCAGUGAAAUGCGUAGAUAUCUGCAGGAACACCCAUGGCGAAAGCGGCGCGCUGGACCACAACUGACGCUGAGGAACGAAAGCUAAAAGAGCAAACAAG
rnacentral:rRNA from 1 species